AAGACUGUGCUUCACAGGAUCAUUUCUGUAGGCUAGUUUUCACUACAUUCGCCACAUAUCCAUUCGAGUAAAAAAAUCCGAUUCUUGGG